rnacentral:lncRNA from 1 species
AAGGGCGGCUUCAUCCUCAUCAGAUGCAGCGGACCAAGCGAUCGAAGUUCAGUGAAGUAGGCAUUACCUUUGACACACAUAUGGGUGCAAUAGGAAAGGGAGCAAGUCAUCAUCGUCGGAUUGUUAGUUGGGGUAAUUUCGUGAAAGCCAUCCAUCUUUAUUAGGUGGAACCCGGAUGGUAGAGGCUUGAAACGCGCUCUUCCUCUACAAAGAAAUGGCCAUAUAAUCGAUGUUGAGGCUAUAAGGAAUGCC